rnacentral:lncRNA from 1 species
GAAGUUACUAGGCUAGGGGUCAAAUCAGAGCUACUACUGCCGGCCUACACCACAGCUGCAGCAACUGGGGAUCCAAGCCGCAUCUGUGACCUACACCAUGGUUCAUUGCAAUGUCAGAUCCCUGACCCACUGAGCGAGGCCAGGGAUCGAACCCUUAUUCUCAUGGAUUCUAAUCAGAUUUGUUUCCACUGUACCACAAUGGGAACUCUGGCCAUACAUUUUUUUUAAAAGUUAAUAGGAGUUCCCAUGUAGCUCAGUGGUUAAUGAAUCCGACUAAGAACCAUGAGGUUGUGGGUUCGAUCCCCGGCCUUGUUCAGUGGGUUGAGCCUUGAGCUGUGGUGUAGGUUGCAGACGUGGCUCGGAUCCCACACUGCUGUGGCUCUGGAGUAGGCCGGCAGCUACAGCUCCAAUUAGACCCCUAGCCUGGGAACCUCCACAUGCCGUGGGAAUGGCCCCAGAAAAGGCAAAAAGACAAAAAGAUGACAAAAAUAAAUAAAUAAAAUAAAUAAAAUAAAAGAUAAUAAUUUCACAACUAGAAGACAUUAUUUAAGUAUGGAUCCAAAUUUCUGGGAUAGUCCUUGGUGUAUGUUUGUGUGUGUAAGACAGAAUUCAGACCUUCAUUUCUUUGGCGUCAUACUUAAUAAUAAUGAGUAUCAUUUAAAUGUAUAAAAAGUAUUAAAAUUGUAAUGGGACAGAUUGUGUAAUGUGAUUUAUAGUGAGUGAAUGCAAAAUGGAACUGUAAUAGUGAUUUCUUUAGUGAGGUCUCUUUCUAGAAUGCUGCACUUCCAAUGUCAAUAUAAAACUUAGGGAAAAAAGUUGCUUAGAAGACUGUCUAAAUUUAUGAAAAGGUUACCUUUAUCUUAAGUGGUCACUUUAUGAAAAGGUUACCUUUAUCUUAAGUGGUCACUUAAGUGAGCAAAUAAAUAUGAAUUCUGACCUAGGAAGUACUUAGAAUUUCAAACCUUAGAUGAGCAAGAUUAUCUAAUUUUAGGUAUUAGAGCUAAAAGAAUUUAAGAAAAAAGCAAAUUUCUGGUCCAAAAGAAUCCCUAGAAUCCUUACUAAAAUGCUAUAACCAAGCUUAUUCUGGGAAAGCCCAUGGGAAAAGGAAAUGGAUUCAGAAAGUUCUGUUAGAUUCCCAUUCAGCUUGUGAGUCAAGAUGCUUCUCAAGACAGAAUGAAUUAAAAAGGAAAACGAUAAUUUUCAGCAGGAAAAAAAUGAAAGCUCGCAUUAACUUAAAAGUAAGUUUGGUUAAUUACAAACCUAAAAUUUGCUUAAAAAAAAAAAAUCACAGCUCAAAAUACAAUGAAGAAGUACAGGUUUAGUAAAGCCAAAACCAGUAAGUACAACCAACUCUCAAUUAUCCAGGGUGAUUUUAAAGCAUCAGUAAGAAUUACUUUUUAGAAACCCAGAAAUAACAGAGAUAAUGUUCACCAAUUAGGGGAGAAGUGAUAACUGACUUCAUGCCCCCCGACCCUCUCCACUUAAAAAUUAUGAAUUGGCUGUACUAAAGAGAAGAAAGCUGAAAGCUAGAUGUGCAUCGUGUAUACCCAGAAUAGCUGAACAUUGAUGAUUUAGUUGACUUAAAUCAAUGAUAUAAUUGAUAUCUACAAUCCUGAUGCUGGAGUUGCAAAAACAAAAAACAAAAAACAAACAAAAAAAACACAGGAAGGAGUGGUCAGAUGGCCUUUCAAGUUAUAUGUACUUCCAAACAGAUCAAAAAAAGCUAUUCAUGGCAUGCAUGAUUUAAAAAAAAAAAAAAAAUCUAGCUCUACUUCAGCAUUCUUUCUCUUCCAUUUUGGAAGCCAGCACACCCAAGUUAAAUGUCUACCCACAAACGAAAGCCCAAAUGCCAGUCUCUGCUGGGAAUCUGUACAUGCAGAUGUGGGGCCUCAGAAUACCUCCAAAAAAUCCACUAACUUGAUAAGCUAAAAAGCAAAGUGAAGUCAUUAAAAAAAUUUUUUUUCUGUUUUGUUUUACAUGAGUUUAAAAAUCAGGUUUUCUGUUUUGUUUACAUGAGUUUAAAAAUCAAAUCUCAAUUCUACUUACUAUUUGGUGGCCCUGUUGCCUGGUAUGGUGGAUAGGAUGCUGAAAGAGUAGGACGAGAGAAGACCGGAGGUUCAUCUCCAAACACCACAAUCAUGACCUGAAUAAGCCCCAACAAAUCUGACUGUGGCUAAAAAUGGAAAACAAAUUUAAGUCAGCUACAGAUUCACUUUUUGGCAAAUAGGAAAAAUCUGGUCAUUUCUUAGUCUUUAUUUAUUUUUUAUUACUCAAAUGAAUUUAUCACAUCUGUAGUUGUAUAAUGAUCAUAACAAUCCAAUUUCACAGGAUUUCCAUCCCACAACCCAAGCACAUCCCCCACCCCCCAAACUGUCUCCUCUGGAGACCAUAAGUUUUUCAAUGUCUGUGAGUCAGCGUCUGUUCUGCAAAGAAGUUCAGUCUCUUUUUCAAAUUCCACAUGUCAGUGAAAGCAUUUGAUGUUGGUGUCUCAUUGUAUAGGUAACUUCGCUUAGUAUAAUAAUUUCUAGGUCCACCCAUAUUGCUAAAAAUGCUGGUAUUUCGUUCUUUUCAAUGGCUGAGUAAUAUUCCAUUGUGUAUAUGUACCACAUCUUCUUGAGCCAUCUGAUUUGUUUUCAACUCAGCUCAAUAACUUCCUUUGUAGGACCACAAACAUAAAAAUUCCAUUUGAUAAAGCUAUGUGAUUUUUACAUAUUAUUUACAUGUAACAAGGUGUUGCUUCACGUGUAUAAAAACAGCACUAGCCAAAGGAUAGUAUCGUUCUUCAUUUGAUUCCACACAACUAACCAAAACUUUUAUUUCCAAUGGACAAAUUACAAAUUCUCAUACAAAUUCAUGGACGGAUGUGUGCAGUAGUCACAAAUAUUAUUUAAGGCCAUUAAAAGAUAACAAUGUUACCUUGGAAACUUGUUCCUAGAUUAAUUUUUAUUAAAGACAGUAUUACGAACUCUGAAAUUACAGGCAGACUUCAUUUCAGAAAUCACUAGAGUACACAAGAUACAAAUCGUUAAAGGAUUUUUCCUUCCAAUACCAUAGUGAAAGUUAGAGUGUCUGUAUCCUAUAAAUGUUGCUAAACUUUUCUCUCAAGUAUCUACUGAUCACUAAUUUAAGACAAAUUAUGCUAGGCAAAGUUGUUCAAAUUGGCUUAUCUGAUGGCUCCAUUUUCACUUCUUACUACAUUUUGUGUAUAUCUCACCUCAUGUACUUCAUGAGUUCAUCAGGUUCUGAAGGAUAACUUAAUCAUCUCGAUCAGCUAAUCAUCUUAAUUUCCUUCUCCGGAUGGGAGAGUUCACUAGCAGCUUUCAACUUCCCAAAGCACUAUUUUAUUAAAUUCUGUCCCAAUGUAUGGACAAUGACAAAAGGUAACAUUUCAGAAAGCUUCUUAUGAAAAUUUGCUGAUUCUCACUAUUCCAACACCUGUCUUAUGUCUGGCUGUGAAUUUACAUGCUGAGACUGGGAGUGAUCACAUACAGUAUCUGUGUAGCACCGAGGAAUGUGGACUAGAGAUCAUAGCUGAUGUGUGUGGGGUCACUAUUGAAAUCACACACUUUAAUCUCUUGUUAAUUAUUUAGUCCAACAAAACUCCCAAGGUAAAUCAUAACCUCAUGCAUUUAAGAAACUGAGAUAUAAUUCAUAUACCCUCGAAAGGUGUAUGGUUCAGUGGCUUUUUCCAUCACCACUAUUUAAUUCCAGAAUAUUUUUAUUAUCCUCCAAAGAAACCUGUACCUAUUAGUACUCAUUUCCAAUUUUCCCCUUCCCCAAGCCCUGGCAACCACUAAUCUAUUUUGUCAAUGGACUUGCCUAUUCUGGAUAUUUCAUACAAUCCAAUGAUCAAGUGGAAUCAUAUGAUGCGUGUCUGGCUUUUUUCACUUAGCAAAUUUUCAAGGUUUACCCAUGAUGAAAUAUUAACUUCAUUUAUGCAGUCUUAUAACCAUAGUUUUGUCAGGAAAAGUUUUACUUCAAUUCUUUAUCAUAUCAUUUCUUUCACUUUAAAGUCUUUGAAGGAAGGAAAAUUAAUCAUUAAUACCUAUUUCCAGGCCUAUUACAAAGCAACAGUCAUGAAUCUUUCAGAAUGACAAAUGACUAAUUCAGAAUAAUACAGGAGGAGUUUGCUUGUGUGGCUCAGUGGGUUAAGGAUCUGGUAUUGUCAUUCCCACAUGCCACGUGUGCGGCCAAAAGAAAAAAGGAAUGAUAUAGGAUAUAAGAAAAGCAGCAAGAUUAUUAGUUUAUUUCGGCUCAAACGCCUAAGGGUCAACUGAAAUAAUAUCUUUAUAAAACUGCUUUGCUACUGAAAACCAUCUUAAUAUCCCUGUGACAACAGCAUGCUAUCUACUGCAGCAAUCUGGCAUGAUACAGAAUGUAAACUAGGGCUGUUAUCAUUUAUCUUGACCUUACUAAUUAAAUUGCUUAUUAAUCCUGAACAUACAUAUUGUUCAGAAUGUAAAAUCUGCUAUCGUGUGUGUGGUGUGUGUGUGUGUGUGUGUGUGUUUAGGGCCACACCCGCAACACAUGGAAGUUCUUAGGCUAGGGAUCAAAUCAGAGCUGUAGCUGCCGGCCUAUGCCACAGCCACAGCAAGCCAGAUCAGAGCCGCACCCGUGACCUGUACUGCAGCUCAUGGCAAUGCCAGCUCCUUAACCCACUGUGUGAAGCCAGGAAUCAAACCAAAGUUCUCAUGGAUACUAGUCAGGUUCUUAACCCACUGAACCACAAUGAGAAUUCCUUCUUGGCUAUCCUUAAUCUUUUGCAUUUCCAUAUAAAUUUUAGAUUCAUCAAGUUCACGAAAUUAAAUACAUAAAGAAAGAAAAACUUCUGUUAGGACAUAGAUCAAUCUGUAGAGAACCAGUAUUUUUAUCAUACUGAGUCUUCCAAUCCAUGAAUAAGGUUCUCUUUGCUUUUACUUAAGUCUUCUAUAAUAUCUUUCAUUAAAAUUUAGAAUUUUCUCCAUAAUGGACUUGGACAUCUUUUGUAAGAUUUAUUCCUAAGACAAUAGCAUUAAAAACAUAAAGUAUUAUAUAUCAGUCCAUUCAUUCUCUAUUCUGCUGAGUCCAAUCUGCUAUUAAACCCAUCUAUCCCAUCUAUUGAGUUCUUUUUGUUUUCUUUUUUGGCUUUGCCCAGGGUAUGUAAAAGCUCCCAGGUGGGGAAUUCCUGUCACGGCUCAGCAGUAAUGAACUCAACUAGUGUCCAUGAUAAUGCCGGUUCAAUCCCUGGCCUUGCUCAGUGGGUUAAGGAUCUGGUGUUGCCAUGAGCUGUGGUAGAGAUCUUAGACCCAGCUCGGAUACCAUGUUGCUAUGGCUGUAGUGUAGGCCAGUGGCCACAGCACUGAUUCGACCCCUAGCCUGGGAACUUUCCAUAUGCCGCAGGUG